rnacentral:rRNA from 1 species
ACAGCAGUCGCCACGGGAAUACAGAGGUCCCGAGCGUUGUUCGGAUUCACUGGGCGUAAAGGGUGUGUAGGAGGUUGGAUAAGUCAGGUGUGAAAUCCCGCAGCUCAACUGCGGAACUGCAUUCGAUACUGUUCAACUAGAGGAUCGGAGGGGGGAGCGGAAUUCUUGGUGUAGCGGUGAAAUGCGUAGAUAUCAAGAGGAACACCGGUGGCGAAGGCGGCUUCCUGGAAGAUACCUGACUCUGAAACACGAAAGCCAGGGGAGCGAAUGGGAUUAGAUACCCCCGUAGUCCCUGUCUCUUAUAC